CCAGAAAUGUACAUGUAAAGGCAUAUGUCAAUUACAGAGGGAAAAUACGAGUUAUAUAACAAUAUUAGCAAGAAGUAAUUUCAAUCGAGACACCAACAUUCUUAUUUUUUGCACUAACUUUAGAAACCAAUACAAUGAAAUUACUAGAAUUACUUACAAAUUUAAGUGUUAAGUCAAAAUAAAGAUUCUCGACAUUGCUGUUAACUGGGUUUGGUUAUUGAGGCCUAAGGAGCAGGGAUAAGGAUAAGACACAGUUAUAUGAAUGUAUUUACAGCAAGAAGGGACAAAGAAAAGGGGGUGGGGGAGAGGAUUGAGCAAACAUAUUCUAAACAAUUUAAAAAAAAUACCAACCAGUUUCUAGUAGCCAAAAUAUUAAUAACUAUAGCUACAUGAAAUAUUGGUGGAAUACAUUCACGGAAAAUAAUAACAAACAUACUGAAAUAGCAAGUUUAACUUGAAAAUUUACCAAAUUAUAAGGUUCAUUGCAAUCUGUCAUUAGAUAAUUAUAGGGACAAUAUCUCAUCAUGUUUCAGGAAGAAGCUGAAUUAAAAUAGUAGUAGCCACUGUUUGAGAGUGUAACUUCCACUAAUCUUAAGCAGACCAAGGCAUUUGAUAUAUCCUGGCACUUUUGAAUAUUUGGAUCAUGCUGUUAUUAGAGAUACUGCUGUUGGGUUAGAGUUUUUGUGUCAGUAGAGAUAUGCAUGUUUUUUUAUAACGCACCUAUUACUAUCACUUGUAUCAUGUGUUAAAGGUACACUAUAGGCACCAAAACAACUCUAGCGUAAUUAAGCAGUUUUGGUGUGUAGAUCAUACUCCUGCAGUCUUACUGCUCAAUUUUCUGUCAUGUAGUAGUUAAAUGACUUUAUUUAUGAAGCCCUAGUCAUCUCCCUGCAUAUGACUUACACGGUUUUCCUAGACACAGUCUGUAAAGAGAGAUCUAAUGUCUAAACUUCAUUUAUUGCACAUUCUGUUUAAUCUAGAAUUUCUUAUCUCCUGGCCUGCAGAACACAAGAUAAAAAACAUCUAAAGCAAGUUAAUAUCUGAUAAUGAAACAGUUUUUCUUCAUGCAGGCUGUGAAAGUCAAAGCCUGGGGAGGUGUGGUUAGGGCUGCAUGGACACAAACAAAAUUUCUAAAUGACUCAUACACACAUCUGGUCUGAGGUCUGUGUGUGAAGAGGCAGAGAAUGAGCAUGCCUGCUGUAAGCAGAGGAGCUAACAGAAGGAGGCUGCAAACAUUCAUGGUUCCCUGGUUAAUUUGCAAAAGUGCCACAGAACAGCAAUAUUACAAGUUAAGUCUUAAUUACUUGCUAAACACACUUUCUAUCUGGUUGCAUGGUAUACGGAUUGCAUAUACGACCACUCCACACCCCAAAAGCACUUCAGCUGGGGUUACAGGACCACUCCACACCCACAAAGCACUAUAAGCAAUAUGUAUGCCAUACAACCAAAUAAAGAGUGUGUGUAGCAAGUAAUUAAGACUUAACUUAUUAUAAUACU